CCUAAGAGAUACGUGUUAUGUGCAGUGCUCACACAGAUUGUCUGAUGAAGAACGAGCAAAAGCGCGUCUGCGAAGCUGACAAAAGUCCCCUUCGUCUAGAGGCCUAGGACACCGCCCUUUCACGGCGGUAACAGGGGUUCGAAUCCCCUAGGGGACGCCAAUGCGCGGUAUGAGUGAAAGGCGUACCACUUAUCUGACGAGAGUCAGAGAAUAACUAAGCUAAUUCAAACGAGUUAUCUUACUUAUUAUGCUCUUUAACAAUCUGGAACAAGCUGAAAAAUUGAAAACAAAUCAAUAUAUCAACGAGGUAUAUUGGUGAGUCUCUCAAAAUCUCAAACCUUAAAGUUUGUCACGCAAAGUUUAUCUUUGAAAGAGACACUUUCGGGUUGUGA
rnacentral:misc_RNA from 1 species